AUGCAAGUCGAGCGGGAUUUCUUUUGGUAGCAAUACCGAGAGAAAUUCAGCGGCGAACGGGUGCGUAACACGUGGGCAAUUUGCCUUAAAGUGUGGGAUAGCUCGGCGAAAGCCGAAUUAAUACCGCAUGUGGCUACUGGAGACAUCUUCGGGACGCUAAAGGUGGCGCAAGCUACCGCUUUUUGAGAAGCCCGCGGCCUAUCAGCUUGUUGGUGAGGUAACGGCUCACCAAGGCUAUGACGGGUAGCUGGUCUGAGAGGACGACCAGCCACACUGGGACUGAGACACGGCCCAGACACCUACGGGUGGCAGCAGUCGAGAAUUUUUGACAAUGGGGGAAACCCUGAUCGAGCGACGCCGCGUGGAGGAUGAAGGUCUUCGGGUUGUAAACUCCUGUCAUUUGGGAACAAGGCGCGGCUAUUAACUGUAGCCGCGUUGAUAGUACCAGAAGAGGAAGAGACGGCUAACUCUGUGUCAGCAGCCGCGGUAAUACAGAGGUCUCAAGCGUUGUUCGGAUUCAUUGGGCGUAAAGGGUGUGUAGGUGGCGCGCUAAGUCGGGUGUGAAAUUUCGGAGCUUAACUCCGAAACUGCAUUCGAUACUGGCGUGCUUGAGGACUGGAGAGGAGACUGGA
rnacentral:rRNA from 1 species